rnacentral:rRNA from 1 species
UUACGCUGUUAUCCCUAAGGUAACUUAAUCUAAUAAUCAAUAAUAAUGGAUCUAAUAUUCAUAAAUCAAUGUUAUGUAAAUAAAAAAGUUAAAUAUAUAUUUUUGUCACCCCAACAAAACACAAAGAAAUAUAAAAAUAUUAAUAUAUAAAUAUUUAAAUAAAAUUAUGUAAAGAUCUAUAGGGUCUUCUCGUCUUCCAAUAGAAUUUUAGCUUUUUAACUAAAAAAUUAAAUUUUAAAACAAAUAAAAUGAGACAGUCAGUUCCUCGUUAAACCUUUCAUUCCAGCCCUCUAUUAAAAGACUAAUGAUUAUGCUACCUUUGCACGGUCAGUAUACCGCGGCCGUUGAAAUCCUCACUGGGCAGGUCAGACCUUCAAUUAAAUUCAAAAGGACAUGUUUUUGUUAAACAGGCG